UAGAGUUUUGAUCCUNGGCUCCAGAAUCAACGCUGGCGGCGUGCCUCAGACAUGCAAGUCGAACGAUUAAAGCUCUCUUCGGAGAGUGCAUAGAGUGGCGCACGGGUGAGUAACACGUAAGUAAUCUACCUUCGAGUGGGGAAUAACAUCGGGAAACCGAUGCUAAUACCGCAUAAUGCAGCGGCAUCGCAAGAUGACAGUUGUUAAAGAUUUAUCGCUUGAAGAGGAGCUUGCGGCAGAUUAGCUAGUUGGUAAGGUAAUGGCUUACCAAGGCUACGAUCUGUAACCGGUCUAAGAGGACGGUCGGUCACACUGACACUGAAUAACGGGUCAGACUCCUACGGGAGGCAGCAGUCGGGAAUUUUGGGCAAUGGGCGAAAGCCUGACCCAGCAACGCCGCGUGAAGGAUGAAGUAUUUCGGUAUGUAAACUUCGAAAGAAUAGGAAGAAUAAAUGACGGUACUAUUUAUAAGGUCCGGCUAACUACGUGCCAGCAGCCGCGGUAAUACGUAGGGACCAAGCGUUGUUCGGAUUUACUGGGCGUAAAGGGCGCGUAGGCGGCUUGUCAAGUCACUUGUGAAAUCUCUGGGCUUAACCCAGAACGGCCAAGUGAAACUGACAUGCUAGAGUGCAGAAGGGGCAAUCGGAAUUCUUGGUGUAGCGGUGAAAUGCGUAGAUAUCAAGAGGAACACCUGAGGUGAAGACGGGUUGCUGGGCUGACACUGACGCUGAGGCGCGAAAGCCAGGGGAGCAAACGGGAUUAGAUACCCCGGUAGUCCUGGCCCUAAACGAUGAAUACUUGGUGUCUGGAGUCAUUAAUGCUCCGGGUGCCGUCGCUAACGUUUUUAGUAUUCCGCCUGGGGAGUACGCUCGCAAGAGUGAAACUCAAAGGAAUUGACGG
rnacentral:rRNA from 1 species